rnacentral:rRNA from 1 species
UACCAGCACCCCCGAGUGGUCGGGACGAUUAUUGGGCCUAAAGCAUCCGUAGCCGGUUCUACAAGUCUUCCGUUAAAUCCACCUGCUUAACAGAUGGGCUGCGGAGGAUACUAUGGAGCUAGGAGGCGGGAGAGGCAAGCGGUACUUAGUGGGUAGGGGUAAAAUCCGUUGAUCCAUUGAAGACCACCAGUGGCGAAGGCGGCUUGCCAGAACGCACUCGACGGUGAGGGAUGAAAGCUGGGGGGAGCAAACCGG